rnacentral:rRNA from 1 species
GUGUCAGCAGCCGCGGUAAUACGAAGGGACCUAGCGUAGUUCGGAAUUACUGGGCUUAAAGAGCACGUAGGUGGUUAGAAAAGUUGAUGGUGAAAUCCCAGAGCUUAACUCUGGAACUGCCAUCAAAACUUUUUAGCUAGAGUAUGAUAGAGGAAAGUAGAAUUUCUAGUGUAGAGGUGAAAUUCGUAGAUAUUAGAAAGAAUACCAAUUGCGAAGGCAGCUUUCUGGAUCAUUACUGACACUGAGGUGCGAAAGCAUGGGUAGCGAAGAGGAUUAGAUACCCUCGUAGUCCAUGCCGUAAACGAUGUGUGCUAGACGUUGGAAAUUUAUUUUCAGUGUCGCAGCGAAAGCAUUAAGCACACCGCCUGGGGAGUACGACCGCAAGGUUAAAACUCAAAUGAAUUGACGGGGACCCGCACAAGCAGUGGAGCAUGUGGUUUAAUUCGAAGAUACGCGCAGAACCUUACCAACACUUGACAUGUUCGUCGCGACUUUAAGAGAUUAAAGUCUUCGGUUCGGCCGGACGAAACACAGGUGCUGCAUGGCUGUCGUCAGCUCGUGUCGUGAGAUGUUGGGUUAAGUCCCGCAACGAGCGCAACCCUUACUUUUAGUUGCCAUCAUUUAGUUGGGCACUCUGAAAGAACUGCCAGUGAUAAGCUGGAGGAAGGUGGGGAUGACGUCAAGUCCUCAUGGCCCUUACGUGUUGGGCUACACACGUGCUACAAUGGCACUCACAAUAGGAAGCAAAGAGGUGACUCCAAGCAAAUCCUAAAAAAGUGCCUCAGUUCGGAUUGUACUCUGCAACUCGAGUACAUGAAGCUGGAAUUGCUAGUAAUCGCGGAUCAGCGCGCCGCGGUGAAUACGUUCCCGGGUCUUGCACACACCGCCCGUC